GACGAACCGAGCGAACGUUGUUCGGAAUCACUGGGCAUAAAGGGCGCGUAGGCGGGGAUGUAAGUCCGUGGUGAAAUACCCUGGCUCAACCAGGGAACUGCCUCGGAUACUGUGUCUCUCGAGGAAGAUAGGGGCUUGCGGAACGGCUGGUGGAGCGGUGAAAUGCGUUGAUAUCAGUCGGAACUCCGGUGGCGAAGGCGGCAAGCUGGAUCUUUUCUGACGCUGAGGCGCGAAAGCCAGGGGAGCAAACGGG
rnacentral:rRNA from 1 species